rnacentral:lncRNA from 1 species
GGAAGUUAUGUGAAUGAAUAAAAGGUGAUGGGCAGAGGUGGCAUGUUGGAUGAUCAUUGAGAAAGAGAGAGAGGGAACCGGAGAGAGAAAGGGACGUAAGAUUAGAGAAAGAGGAGAGAGAGAGAAGUAGCGAGUGGAGAGAGAUGGAACGAAAAAAUGUAAGAUUGUUAGAAUUUGCGGUAUUUUUAUUUUUAAUUUUUAGGGCAUGGUAGUUUUGAUUUUUUGCACAAAAAGUGACUAAUUUUAAGUUUUAAAUUUGACUAGACAAAUUUUAAGUUUAUUAUAAUAAAU